rnacentral:rRNA from 1 species
CAGGUCUUGACAUCCUUUUGCCUUUCCUAGAGAUAGGAAUUUCCCUUCGGGGACAAAAGUGACAGGUGGUGCAUGGUUGUCGUCAGCUCGUGUCGUGAGAUGUUGGGUUAAGUCCCGCAACGAGCGCAACCCUUAUUCUUAGUUGCCAGCAUUCAGUUGGGCACUCUAAGGAGACUGCCGGUGACAAACCGGAGGAAGGUGGGGAUGACGUCAAAUCAUCAUGCCCCUUAUGACCUGGGCUACACACGUGCUACAAUGGAUGGUACAAAGGGUUGCGAGACCGCGAGGUUUAGCCAAUCCCAUAAAACCAUUCUCAGUUCGGAUUGUAGGCUGCAACUCGCCUACAUGAAGCCGGAAUCGCUAGUAAUCGUGGAUCAGCAUGCCACGGUGAAUACGUUCCC